rnacentral:rRNA from 1 species
GUCCGGAAUUAUUGGGCGUAAAGGGCUCGCAGGCGGUUUCUUAAGUCUGAUGUGAAACCCCCCGCUCAACCGUGGAGGGUCAUUGGAAACUGGGGAACUUGAGUACAGAAGAGGAGAGUGGAAUUCCACGUGUAGCGGUGAAAUGCGUAGAGAUGUGGAGGAACACCAGUGGCGAAGGCGACUCUGUGGUCUGUAACUGACGCUGAGGAGCGAAAGCGUGGGGAGCGAACAGGAUUAGAUACCCUGGUAGUCCACGCCGUAAACGAUGAGUGGUAAGUGUUAGAGGGUUUCCGCCCUUUAGUGCUGCAGCAAACGCAUUAAGCACUCCGCCUGGGGAGUACGGUCGCAAGACUGAAACUCAAAGGAAUUGACGGGGGCCCGCACAAGCGGUGGAGCAUGUGGUUUAAUUCGAAGCAACGCGAAGAACCUUACCAGGUCUUGACAUCCCAUGACAACUCUAGAGAUAGAGCGUUCCCCUUCGGGGGACAUGGUGACAGGUGGUGCAUGGUUGUCGUCAGCUCGUGUCGUGAGAUGUUGGGUUAAGUCCCGCAACGAGCGCAACCCUUGAUCUUAGUUGCCAGCAUUUAGUUGGGCACUCUAAGGUGACUGCCGGUGACAAACCGGAGGAAGGUGGGGAUGACGUCAAAUCAUCAUGCCCCUUAUGACCUGGGCUACACACGUGCUACAAUGGAUGGUACAAAGGGCUGCGAGACUGCGAAGUUAAGCGAAUCCCAUAAAACCAUUCUCAGUUCGGAUUGCAGGCUGCAACUCGCCUGCAUGAAGCUGGAAUCGCUAGUAAUCGUGGAUCAGCAUGCCACGGUGAAUACGUUCCCGGGCCUUGUACACACCGCCCGUCACACCACGAGAGUUUGUAACACCCGAAGUCGGUGGAGUAACCGUAAGGAGCUAGCCGCCUAAGGUGGGACAGAUGUAUUAGUGUGAACUAUUAUCUCCGGCAGACCAAGG